AGGGGCGUAGCUCAAUUGGCAGAGCACCGGUCUCCAAAACCGGGGGUUGUGAGUUCGAGUCCCACCGCCCCUGCCA
rnacentral:tRNA from 2 species